GGGGACGUAGCUCAAUCGGCAGAGCACCGCUUUUGCAAGGCGGGGGUUAGGGGUUCGAUUCCCCUCGUCUCCACCA
rnacentral:tRNA from 5 species